UACAGAGGCUGCAAGCGUUAUUCGGAUUCACUGGGCGUAAAGGGUGCGCAGGCGGUCAGGUGUGUUAGGCGUGAAAGCCCGGGGCUUAACCCCGGAAUUGCACCUAAAACUACAUGGCUAGAGCAUUGGAGAGGGUAGCGGAAUUCACGGUGUAGCAGUGAAAUGCGUAGAUAUCGUGAGGAACACCAGAGGCGAAGGCGGCUACCUGGACAAUUGCUGACGCUGAGGCACGAAAGCGUGGGGAGCAAAAGGG
rnacentral:rRNA from 1 species